CCUACGGGUGGCUGCAGUCGAGAAUCAUUCACAAUGGGGGAAACCCUGAUGGUGCGACGCCGCGUGGGGGAAUGAAGGUCUUCGGAUUGUAAACCCCUGUCAUGUGGGAGCAAAUUAAAAAGAUAGUACCACAAGAGGAAGAGACGGCUAACUCUGUGCCAGCAGCCGCGGUAAUACAGAGGUCUCAAGCGUUGUUCGGAAUCACUGGGCGUAAGGCGUGCGUAGGCUGUUUCGUAAGUCGUGUGUGAAAGGCGCGGGCUCAACCCGCGGACGGCACAUGAUACUGCGAGACUAGAGUAAUGGAGGGGGAACCGGAAUUCUCGGUGUAGCAAUGAAAUGCGUAGAUAUCGAGAGGAACACUCGUGGCGAAGGCGGGUUCCUGGACAUUAACUGACGCUGAGGCACGAAGGCCAGGGGAGCGAAAGGGAUUAGAUACCCGGGUAGUC
rnacentral:rRNA from 1 species